GACGGACCGUCCGAACGUUACUCGGAAUUACUGGGCUUAAAGGGUGCGUAGGCGGCCUUGCAAGUCGGGUGUGAAAUCCCUCGGCUCAACCGAGGAAUUGCGCUCGAUACUGCGGGGCUCGAGGGAGAUAGAGGUGAGCGGAACUUGCGGUGGAGCGGUGAAAUGCGUUGAUAUCGCAAGGAACACCGGAGGCGAAAGCGGCUCACUGGGUCUCUCCUGACGCUGAGGCACGAAAGCUAGGGGAGCGAAC
rnacentral:rRNA from 1 species